rnacentral:rRNA from 1 species
AUUGAACGCUGGCGGCAGGCCUAACACAUGCAAGUCGAACGGAGUGGCGGACGGGUGAGUAAUGUCUAGGAAUCUGCCUGGUAGUGGGGGAUAACGUCCGGAAACGGGCGCUAAUACCGCAUACUAUCAGAUGAGCCUAGGUCGGAUUAGCUAGUUGGUGGGGUAAAGGCCUACCAAGGCGACGAUCCGUAACUGGUCUGAGAGGAUGAUCAGUCACACGGGAACUGAGACACGGUCCAGACUCCUACGGGAGGCAGCAGUGGGGAAUAUUGGACAAGGGGCGAAAGCCUGAUCCAGCCAUGCCGCGUGUGUGAAGAAGGUCUUCGGAUUGUAAAGCACGUUCAGCGGGGAGGCGUUACCCGCAGAAGAAGCACCGGCUAACUCCGUGCCAGCCGCCGCGGUAAUAC